UACGGAGGGGGCUAGCGUUGUUCGGAAUUACUGGGCGUAAAGAGCACGUAGGCGGUUGAUCUAGUUAGGCGUGAAAGCCCUAGGCUUAACCUAGGAACUGCGUUUAAUACUGAUUAACUAGAGGCCGGGAGAGGGUGGUGGAAUUCCCAGUGUAGAGGUGAAAUUCGUAGAUAUUGGGAGGAACACCAGUGGCGAAGGCGGCCACCUGGACCGGUUCUGACGCUGAGGUGCGAAAGCGUGGGGAGCAAAC
rnacentral:rRNA from 1 species